UAAAGUGCGAUAUGUAGUGCGAUUUGCAUGAAUCUGUGAGUCAUCUAAUCUUUGAACGCAACUUGCGCCGUGUAAGCGGCAUGUCUGUUCGAGAACCGAGCGAAAAUGUGUGUAUACGAAUUGGUGGAUGCUGGUUGGGGGUGUCUGGUUGUAAAACUGGGACAUUCGCCGCUGGCUCUGCUUAAAGGAAGCAAGCAUGACUCGCAGGAACGAGCCAGUGUGCUAGAGACACAGGAGGGGGCGUAUGGCUUGUCCAACCGUCCUUCCAGUCUUGUCACUGGCAAAGAUCCCGCAGUCCAAACCAAACUCAAUUUCGGUCUCGAAUCAGGCAAGAUCACCCGCUGAACUUAA
rnacentral:misc_RNA from 1 species